AUUGAACGCUGGCGGCAGGCUUAACACAUGCAAGUCGGGCGGAACGGCGGACGGGUGAGUAAUGCUUAGGAAUCUGCCUAUUCGUGGGGGACAACAUCUCGAAAGGGAAGCUAAUACCGCAUACUAAUAGAUGAGACUAAGUCGGAUUAGCGAGUUGGUGGGGUAAAGGCCUACCAAGGCGACGAUCUGUAGCGGGUCUGAGAGGAUGAGCCGCCACACUGGGACUGAGACACGGCCCAGACUCCUACGGGAGGCAGCAGUGGGGAAUCUUCGACAAUGGGGGGAACCCUGAUCCAGCCAUGCCGCGUGUGUGAUGAAGGCCUUAUGGUUGUAAAGCACUUUAAGCGAGGAGGCGUUACUCGCAGAAUAAGCACCGGCUAACUCUGUGCCAGCCGCCGCGGUAAUUC
rnacentral:rRNA from 1 species